rnacentral:rRNA from 1 species
AUUGAACGCUGGCGGCAGGCCUAACCCAUGCAAGUCGAACGAGUGGCGGACGGGUGAGUAAUGUCUGGGAAACUGCCCGAUGGAGGGGGAUAACUACUGGAAACGGUAGCUAAUACCGCAUACCAUCGGAUGUGCCCAGAUGGGAUGAGCUAGUAGGUGGGGUAACGGCUCACCUAGGCGAAGAUCCUUAGCUUGUCUGAGAGGAUGACCAGCCACACUUGAAUGGAGACACGGUUCAGACUCCUACGGAUGGCAGCAGUGGGGAAUAUUGCACUAUGGGCACAAGCCUGAUGCAGCCAUGUCGCGUGUAUGAAGAAGGCCUUCGGGUUGUAAAGUACUUUCAGCGAGGAGGCGUUACUCGCAGAAGAAGCACUGGCUAACUCCGUGCCAGCCGCCGCGGUAAUAC